GCGAUAAUUCACUUGAAUUGCAGCCU
rnacentral:misc_RNA from 1 species